GGUUCGAUUCUGGCUCAGAUUGAACGCUGGCAGGAUGCUUACACAUGCAAGUCAGACGGCAGCACGGACUUCGGUCUGGUAGAGUGGCGAACAGGUAGGUAAUGUAUCGGAACGUGCCUAGUAGCGGGGGAUAACUACGCGAAAGCGUAGCUAAUACCGCAUACGCCCUUUAAGGGAAAGCAGGGGACCUUCGGGCCUCGCACUAUUAGAGCGGCCGAUAUCGGAUUAGCUAGUUGAUGGGGUAAGCUUGGCUCACCAAGGCGACGAUCCGUAGCUGGUUUGAAGGACGACCGGCAGCCACACUGGGACUGAGACUGGCCCAGACUCCUACGGGAGGCAGCAGGAGCGAUUUGGACAAUGGGGAAACCCUGAUCCAGCCAUCCGCGUGUGCGAUGAAGGCCUUCGGGUUUGUAGCGCGCGGCGGGAAAGAAACGGCACAGGAUAAUACGUGCCUUUGACGAACACCUGCAGAAUCAGCACCGGCUAACUACGUGCCAGCAGCCGCGGUAAUACAUGGUGCAAGCGUUAAUCGGAAUUACUGGGCGUAAAGCGUGCGCAGGCGGUUCGAAGAAAGUCUUGAAAUCCCAGAGCUUAACUUUGGAACUGCAUUUUUAACUACCGAGCUAGAGUGUGUCAGAGGGAGGUGGAAUUCCGCGUGUAGCAGUGAAAUGCGUAGAUAUGCGGAGGAACACCGAUGGCGAAGGCAGCCUCCUGGAUAACACUGACGCUCAUGCACAGCGUGGGGAGCAAACAGGAUUAGAUACCCUGGUAGUCCACGCCCUAAACGAUAUCGCUAGCUGUUGGGGCCUUCGGGCCUUGGUAGCGCAGCUAACGCGUGAAGUUGACCGCCCUGGGGAGUACGGUCGCAAGAUUAAAACUCAAAGGUGCGGCGGGGACCCGCACAAGCGGUGGAUGAUGUGGAUUAAUUCGAUGCAACGCGAAAAACCUUACCUACACUUGACAUGUCUGGAAUCCCGAAGAGAUUUGGGAGUGCUCGCAAGAGAACCGGAACACAGGUGCUGCAUGGCUGUCGUCAGCUCGUGUCGUGAGAUGUUGGGUUAAGUCCCGCAACGAGCGCAGCCCUUGUCAUUGGAACACUUACGAAAGGGCACUCUAAUGAGACUGCCAGUGACAAACCGGAGGAAGGUGAGGAUGACGUCAAGUCCUCGCCGGCCCUUAUGGGUAAGGAUUCACACGUCAUACAAUGGUCGGGACAGAGGGUCGCCAACCUUGCGAGGAGCCAAUCCCAGAAACCCGAUCGUGGUCGGAUUGCAGUCUGCAACUCGACUGCGUGAAGUCGGAAUCGCUGGUGUCACGGAUCAGCAUGUCGCGGUGAAUACGUUCCCGGGUCUUGUACACCGCCCGUCACCAUGCGGGAGUGGAAGUUUUGCAGAAGUAGUUAGCUAGCAGGAGGGCGAUUACCACGGUAGGAUUCAUGACUGGGGUGAAGUCGUAACAAGGUAA
rnacentral:rRNA from 1 species